rnacentral:rRNA from 1 species
CCCCUUUGGCUCUAGGGGAUUCUCAAAGCUUGUUUACUUUUUAAUACAUGCUAGUUAACGCUAACCGGUGAGUGAACCAGACCCCUAGGGGCUGGACCAGUAUUAGGCUUUAUUAGGACUAAACCCCUAUUAGCCCAUGAUGCUAAGUUUAAAACCACCCCCUCUCUGAAACAAAAAGGGAUAUUUUCAGCAGUAGAGAAUCUUGUGCUAUUGGCGUUGGCCAGACACAGAAAGUAACCAUUAGGUCUGUCCCAUUAUGUGCCAGCAGACGCGGUUAGACCUAAAGAUCCCGUUUUGAGAAGACAGUGGGCCCCAAAAGCUACAACCUAAUCUUAUUUAAGAAGGAAGAAUGCCAACGUGACGAUAAAAUGUUUUUGUUUUAAAGAAUUUCGAAAGCUAACGCCUCCUUCUGUUGAGGACCUAGCUAAAGUAAGGGGAGCUAACAGGAUUAGAGACCCUGGUCGUCCUUACCCUCAACCCUAACCCCUGUUUGCCUGAAGAGUACGAUUGCAAGAUUGAAAUUCAAAGAGCCUGGCUGUUCACCCUUCCCCUUAGAGGAGCGUGUCCUUUAAUACGAUACUCCACGAGUUACCUUACCUACCCUUCACUCAGGUAUUGCAUGGCUGUCGUCAGUUUACGUUUCAAACGAUAAACCCCUUUCUCCUUUAGAAAGACGUCAGGUUGUAUGAUCCUUAUGGGUAGGCAAAGAUGCGCUACAUUUCAGAAUCAUAUUUCUUCUGAGCGUAAGAGGGCUGAAAAGUCCUCUCUAAGUUGAAUUUAAGAGUAACUAGAAAUCAGCAUGUUCUAGUGAACCGGUUAAGGUGUGAGUACAAAUUGCCCGUCACCUUCACUAAGGGUUAAUCUGAAGUGAAGCAAGUCGUAACAUAGUGAGCGGAAAGGAAUUUCUGCUCGAUC